rnacentral:lncRNA from 1 species
CCUUCUCUGCACAUGUAAGCCAGGUGGCUUCAGGCUACUGGAGCCUGCUUGGCCUGUGGUCUGCAAAGAUGAGAAGUGCCUGGGAGUUUAUAGCAUCUGGGAGGCAGCUUCUGACUAGUGAUGAAGAAUGCAGGAGGGCUCGACAUCUCCUUGAUGUCCUCCUGGAUAGAGUUCAACUCCUCUCCCCUUGGACAUUCUACCUGGAGCUGCUCCAGUCUUUCCCUGGAUCUCUUCAAAAUGAUGCUCUAAACUGAACACAACAAUUGCUUUUGCUGCUGGAAGGAAGCACCAGCUGUCUCCGAUCCUGCCCCCUUGUGGUGAAGUGGAAUGAUAACCAGUUCUUUAGGGAAAGUUGGUUAUUUAUAAGGGGGAGAGGGAUCUCUCUCUCUCUGCUCUGUGCACGCAGAGGAAAGGCCAUGUGAGGGCUCAGCGAGAAGGCAGCUGCCUGCCAGCCAGGAAGAGAGAACUCUCCACAAACGGACCAUGCUGGCACCCUGGUCUUGGACUUCCAGCCUCCAGAACUCUUGGUUAUGGAUUAUUUUCGUCGACGCCACUUACGUGAUGAGAUGAGGUCUUCUGGAAAGUCUUCCUCACUUAAAAUGUUCCAGGCCUGUGCCUGUACUUUCAAGGCAUACCACCAGAUUCAUCGCCUGCCUUUUACGACGAGGAUGAUGGAUUUCUGCCAGAAUACUUAGGAUCACGAGCUGGGGAAGCUGUCCUGACAGAGUCCAUCAGCAUGUUCCUUGGGCAUGUCUCUCAAAGUCAUUUUUAACUCCUCGGAUUCAUUCGUCUUGUUCCUAAAUGCAGCAAAAUGAGACUGGAGGUGAAGCAAAAGAAUCCAGAAUAUAUUAAGAACUUCUGCACAUCAGUAAUAAAAGGACAAACAUUCCAGUUAAAAAUGGGCAAAAGUCUUGAACAGGCACUUUUUGAAAGAAGAUAAAUGAAUGAGCAAUACGUGUAUGAAACAAUGCUCCGUGUCAGGCAUAAUAAGAUCCCUCUAUGCACCACCAGAAUGGCUAAAGUUACAAAGAACGGCAAUAGCAAGUGUUAGCGAGACAGUGGUAUCAAUGGAACUCUCAUACCUUGCUGGUAGAAGUUAAAAAUGGUACAAAU